rnacentral:rRNA from 1 species
UACGAGGGGGGCAAAUGUUGUUCGGAAUCACUGGGCGUAAAGGGAGCGUAGGCGGGUUCUUAAGUAAGGUGUUUAAUCCCGGGGCCCAACCCCGGACCGGCACUUUAAACUGGGAAUCUUGAAUAGUGGAGAGGUCAGUGGAAUUGGGGGUGUAGCGGUGGAAUGCGUAGAGAUCCCCAAGAACACCAGUUGCGAAGGCGGCUGACUGGACACAUAUUGACGCUGAGACGCGAAAGCGUGGGGAGCAAACAGG